UACGGAGGGUGCAAGCGUUAAUCGGAAUAACUGGGCGUAAAGGGCACGUAGGCGGUAGAUUAAGUCGGAUGUGAAAUCCCCGGGCUCAACCUGGGAAUGGCAUUCGAGACUGGUGUGCUAGAGUUUUGUAGAGGGGGGUAGAAUUCCACGUGUAGCGGUGAAAUGCGUAGAGAUGUGGAGGAAUACCGGUGGCGAAGGCGGCCCCCUGGACAAAGACUGACGCUGAGGUGCGAAAGCGUGGGGAGCAAACAGG
rnacentral:rRNA from 1 species